GCCCUUCUAGCCCCUGAAUUCAUACCAGAAUCCAGGAUCUUAUUUGGAGAUGAGGUAACAGAAGAAGAGUCAUCCUGAGCGAGCUCACUGCUGACACGCCAAUGGUUGAAACCCAUGGCCCUUUGAAAUGUGCUGCUCACUCCUGUGUGCUGCUGGGUGUUUCCUGAAAGCUACGUUCCAACUGUGCUCUGAGAUCCCGCAACUUUCUGAGGGUGCUGAGUAUGGAUGGAGUGUGGGGCCCUGACAACUAGAGAACUUGCUCAAACCUGGCCGUUUCCUCAGUUGUGGUGGUUUUAAAACAUGUCUGCAAACCCUCAGACCUUCCUCUCAUUAAGAGGUAUGUGAGUGAGCAAACCAUGAGAGGAGUCCAGCCCUGGCCUUCCAGCCGUCCCAGCUGAGCGGAGAGACAGACAUGCUGUUCCUGCAGCAUCCUGGCCAAACUGCCAAUUCGAUUUCAAGGCAGUCUUCUCCCAAAAGAGAAUUCUGAGGCUGGCCCACUACAAUGUAUUUCUGCAGACAGAAGAUGAGAACAAGGCCAAAUGAUCAGUUGUGGCAUCUUUCAGUCAUAAGUUCAAUGAUUCUGGGCACAAGGCAAGGAGCCCUCUAAGGGAAGGAAGUCAUUCAUCGAAAUUAGAGCCACAGGCGGCUGAGGACAGGGCCAGGGACCAGCAGAGAUUCUGGACAAGGUGACUGUCUGGUUGGCACCUGGGCUCUUCCCCUGCUGAAUCUUUCUCUUGCAACUUUGUGUGUAUACGCCCGGUCACCAUGCACUCAGGAUCCUGAGGGUGUGAGAUCUGCAUGGUAUUUGCUUUUCAUGGUGCCCACCCAAGCAAUGAUUGGCACUAGAUACACAGUGGGUCACAUGCUUGUAGAAUUAGCUUGUAGAAUUACCAUAUCCACUCCCAGAACCCAGAACAUAUCCACUCCCCAAAUUAGCAUAUGCUUGUAGAAUUAGCAUAUCCACUCCCAGAACUCACACUUCUCAUAAUCGUUCAUUCAACAAACCAUAUUAAAUUACUUCUCUGUGCUAAGCAACAGGGACAAAAGCAAAAUAAGUCCCAACCCCUGUCCACAAGAGUCUAAGAAUCUAGUAGAGGAUGGAAAGAAAGAGGCAAUUAUUCAAAGGUAAGAUAAGUACUGGGUCAUGGAUCCACUCAUCAAGUGGCUAUUGAGCAUUUUCUAUGUAUUAGGCUUUGUCAGUUACCUGGGAUUCGGGGGAAAUAAGGCACAUCUCUGUUAAAAAAAAAAAAAAAAAAACUAUGAGUUUGAUUGUGUGAUGGGUGUCUAGAGGACAGGAAAAGUGGACAGGAGAAAAUUCCCCAGCACCUAACACAGUGCCAAGCACAAAGAGUCACUCAGCAAAUAUUUAUUGAAUGAGAGUUGACUAAAACAAAUAAUUACAGAACAUGAUACAGACUAUGACAGAAGCAAAAGUGGGCUGUGGCUAUUUGAAAAUCAGAGCAUCUUUUAAAAGGGAGACGGCAUCUGAACCUUGCCGAGUAGGAAUGUUCCAGAAGUAAGAGAGAUGACUAGGGUUUCAAGAACAAGGACCAGCACCUAUGAAGGCUCUGAGGCACAGACCACUGUGACCUGUGGAGAAGUGGUGAGUGGAGAAGGAGCAUGGGUUUGGUGGGGAUGGUAGGGAAUGGCCAGUAAUGGGGUAGGAACAAUAAGUCUAAGGCUACAUCCCUGAGGGAUUUAUGACAUAUGAACACUGGAGAAGCAAGUGGACAGCUGCUGCUCCUCUGUAUCUGCACUUUCACAGCAGAAAGUAGAAGGCACCUCUCACCUACCUGAUAACGGAGGAGGUGAGAAUGUAGGCUUUAGAAUCAAGUGGACCCUGGGUUCAAAUCCCAGCACUGCUACCUUUGAACAAUGAGCUGUUGGGCAAGUAACUGAGCCUCUCUGCACCUCAAUAGUUUCGUCUCCUAAACAAGUACCAUGAUAUCCACCCAGGGGAGUGUUGGAAAGGAAUAAAUAAGGUAAGGUAUGUAAAAUCUUGAUUAGAGUACCUGGCCUACAGUGACUAUUUUGAAAGCAUUGUUUUGUUAUUGUUAUUACUGUAAUAAUUAUUAUUCCUGUCAUUCUAUUUGGAAUAAUGUUACUUCUCAUCUAUCCUUUACUGCCUAUAAAAAAAAGUUAAAUUUGAGGCCAAUCUUUUCCAUAUUGGUUAUCUCCACAGAGCAAAUGAAUUUAGAGCCAUUACUUGAUGGUGAGUGGGGAUUACUCAGGUUGGAAGGAACCUCCAAGUGCACAUGGCCCGACAAACCUCCUCAAUUUACCACUGAGGAGCCUGAGGCCCAGGUACCAAAGGCUGGCCCCUGGCCCCAAAACAGCUUACAGAGAGAACUGGGCUAACCCCUAGGCCUUCAGGCCCCAAUCCAGACCCUCCAGAUACAGUUCACUGUCUCCCAUUUAACCCUGUUGCCAAGUCGACAAGGUCAAGACUAAAAUCUACUGCAAACGCCAACCUCUCAGACACAAAUCAGAGGGCCCUACCCGACUCACUGGGCCCACAGAGGUUGGUUUGCUUUCUUCACACUCUCUGCAGCAUCCACAGGCUGCUGCUCAAAUCUGAGAACAGACUCUGCCCUGGAGCCCUCAAAGAGGAGAUGAGAGGCCCCUCCCAGCCAGUGUCAGCUUACAGUGGGAACAGGGCCUGGGGCACAGCCAGAGCCAGGCUGACACUGGAAUGCUGUUGCUUCCCCAUGCUCUCAUCCCCAGCAGAGGCAGUGUCAGGCUGUGGCCGGCCUCACCAUAGCAAGGGGCGUGUUUCUCACCAGAAGGCCUGGCAGGGUCACUCUGGAGUCAGCCCCUUUUCUGUCAUUUGCUGCAGGCUCCCACAGUUUCCCAGAACUGCCCCCUUGGUCAGAGUCACGGUUCUCCUCUGGAAGAGAAGCUCAAGGGCAGACCCUCGGCAGGAAGCAGACCAGCAUUUUCUGGAACUUCCCCGGUCGCUCUUCAGACCCCUCACUGAGGGAUUUAAUGGGAGGACUCACACGGCCUGAACAAGCCAAGUGAAGCACUUGUCUGCUAUUCUGUUCCCUUUGUGAGACUCAGAGUACCUGCCAUACCCAUAGUCAAAUUUAAAUAAAUAUUUAACAAAAGGGGUUAUUUUCUACACCAUGAGAAAAAGAGGUGAUUUUCUACACCAGAAGUUAUUAUUCUCUACUCACAGCUGGCCAGACCGUGGGUGAGGUUCCUAACCCAUAGGUAGCCAAGAUGUUGGCCCAUGUGGGAACCGUGGUCCAGCCAGUAGGACUCUCCUGUGCUGGAUGGUACUGACCCAUUGAGCCAAUCAGAUUCUCUCUCGUGCCUUACUGUGUUCUCCAAAUACAUAUUGAGAACUUCCAUGUGCCAAGCUCUAUGCUAGGUUCCAGUGAUACAAACAUAGAAGGGGCUCUGUAACCCCAGACCUCUGUGCUCUUAGAAGGAGUUCAGUAUAGGAAUCCAUUCCUUAUUAGCAACUUAAACUAACUGUUGGGAUUUUGUUGCAACAUAUACACAACUCUCAUUUAUAAUGUAACAGUUACUUUAAAUAAACUGAUGAAUUUAUCAGGACCCUCGAAUUCAAGGAACAGAAACCUAACCCAAUCUGGCAUAAAGAAAAAUUAGAAUUUACUGGCUCAUAUCCACAAAGGCUAGGACUAGAGCUGUCCUCAGGAAUUCAAAUAAUGAUAUCGUCUCUCCCUCUCUCCUUCCUCUCCCACCCCAUCUCAUUCCAUAUCUCAGAUCUCUGCUUCUCUCCAUCUGUUGGACUCAUUCUUUCCUCACAUAGCAGAGCUUUAUUCACACUGCAGGAGACGUGGCAUGGGCAGCUCCAGGCUUCAUCAACCUAGAUUUGCAACUCCCAAGGAAACAAAGAUUUCUCUCUCCUAGCACUCAGAGGUAAAAUUCAAGGGAAGAACACCAAUAAACCAAACUUAGGUCAUGUGGCCAUCAUGAAGCCAAUCACUGUCGCAAGAUGCGUGAGAUCCCAUGAUUGGUCAAACCUUGGUCACAUGACACAGCUCACCCACCAGAACCACAUGGUGCAAACGAACAGUUCCCCACAGCAAGGAGGGUGCCUUUCCAUAGAAAGGGAGUAGAUGCUGAAUAGGAUGGAGAGGAGGAGGCAGAGAGAGACGUCUGUUACACCAGAAGGAAUAAAAGGAAAAACUUGUUUUCCAAAAGAAAAGGUAGAAAAGGACUUUACCAAAGAGUAGUUUUAGGAUUGUUGCUAAUGGCCAGCUUUAUUAGAAUACAGAAGACAUUGAUAUACUUUAAACAAUUUAAUGAGUGGCAAUUCUCAUAAGAUAUACAGAAGGAGUGAGUCAGCACAGAACUAAUACAGUGACAGAGGACAAACCAAGUAUCUUUGAGGGAGGAAGAGAACUCACAUGCAUUGAACAUUUACUGGGUGCAGUACCUUGUUAUGAAACUCUGUUGCUAUCCUAUGAGACAGACACUAUUGUUUCCCUCCAUUUACAGGAGCAGGAACUCAUGCUCAGAGAAGUGUUCAAAAAAAAAACAAAAAAACAAAACAAAAAGGCCUCACUGAUAAUCCUAUGACUAGUAAGUGUGGGGCUGGGAUGUGAUUCCAAGUUCGCCUGAUUCCAAAGCUCAUGCUCUUUCUACAAGUUCGGUCUGCGUUCCAAAGGCAAAAUUGCAGCCCUGCUGAAAGGUGGAGGGGUGAACAAUGAGUCCCUCCUCUAUUUAUAGACAGAGAACAAAACCAGACAGCCCAAAAGGGCAGAAGUGCCAAGAAGGAAAAUAGUUUUUCUGGGUCCUUUAUGAGGACAUUUUUACUCCCAAAAUGGAGAUGGUGCCGGAAAGUAAGAUUGCCCAUCACGAACUGCUGCAGCAGCCAGGACAAUGCAGCCAAGAAAGGACAAUGGGUUCAGCACCCAGGGGUCAUUAGUGGCCCUCAAGAGGCUGCUUCAACAGAGGAGUGUGUCCAGACCUGAUAUUUAAAGCAGUUUACAGCAAGCAACUGGUUGAGAAAUCGAGGCUUCUAAAGUAGACCUACUCAUUCAAGAAUAGCAGUAAAUAUAAUGAUAUCUGCAUGUUUUAAAAUUACAGGGAAGCAAUGAAUCAAGAGGAAAGGUUAAAAAAUCAGACUUUAAUAAAAAUGAGUGCUUAUCUUAUUUUGCAGAUAGAAAAGUGCAAGAAAGACAUGCUAUUAGAGACAGAAAUAAAAAUCCAAAUUAACUGGACCAGCUGAGACUCUGGACUGGGAAAACAUGAGUCUGAACCACUACAGGGUUCUCGGGGAGUUGUAUCUUUCCUGACACACUGUUUGUUCACCCUUUUCUUUGGGCAACAGAUGCCAUUCCUGACCACAUGGGUUGUCCUGUAAAUGGUCUGGCCACUUGUGAUACUUCAUGCCACUGGAAACAGUAGUCAGUUGACCUAAUGUGACUCAAACUAAGCCAGCCAGUCUGUCUCUCUGAGAUUGGUGUAUGGGCAUUGGAAGAGCAGUCUUCUCUCUCCAUUAGAUUGUGAAGCUGGGGUCACGCAAGAGAAAGGCUUAAGCAGCCCCCCACGCAUGAGCAACACAGAUUAGCAAUGACCUGGGCAAAGGGGAUUUCUCUCUCUCAGCACCCAUACGUAAAAUCCGAAGAAAGGAUCUCUGGACAUGUGAAGGAAGCCCAUUCAUAAGUAGGAAAAAAUGAGGCCAGUCCAAAGAAAGAUGGAGAGAGAGAGAAAAACAAACAACAACCUUCAAAACUCUGAAUCUAGCCAAAUCUGCUCCCCAUCCUGGACUUUCUCCUUUAUUGGGCCAUAAUCAAAGAGUCCAGUUGUUUUCAUUUCUAGCUGCCACAGAUAAGUGAGAACAUGUGCUUUUUGUCUUUCUGUAUCUGGCUUGUUUCACUUAACAUAAUGACCUACAGUUCCAUCCCUGUCGUUGGAAAUGAUGGGAUCUCAUUCUUUUUUAUGGGUGUAUAGUACUCUUUUUUAUAUUUAAGGAAGUUUGAAGUGAGUUUCUCUAGCUGGCAGCCAAAAUAGAGUUCACUAACAUAACUCCCAUUGAAGCCUCAAUCAAACCUCAAUAGGUUGCCCUGUGAAUGGAAAUUAAAAUUUUGACCUGCUGGAGCCGCUGAGAAUGAAUAUAAUUUUUUUAAAAAGGCAUGGAGCUCUGUCCUCAAGAAACUCAUAGUCAUGGGAAGUUUUUUGCUUUCCUGCUACAAAUAGGAAAUCCUUCAGAAAGGUUGAUGAUGUCAGUGUAGGUAUGUGUGGUGGGAGAGGGAAUGGCAGGGGAGGCACAAUCCUCUUCCAAAAGAUAAAUAAUAAUGACCAAGCUAAUUAUCACACUUGACAGAUACACACAGGAGCCAAAGGGUGGUGCGCAGAGCUUUGUAUGUUUCUCAUUGAGACACAUCAGCCCACCUCGAGCCUCUCAUUGGGCUUCCAGACAUCUUUUCUCUCUUGCCUAGCUUUUCCUUCCUUUCUUGGGAUUCCCUUGUCCAGUUGGCCCUUUGGGCUCCCCUGCCCUCCCUCCAGGGCUCCCAGAAAAGCAGCUCCAUUCACUCCCAUUGGGAGCUGAAGAGAGUUGAGUCAGAUUCCUUCAUGGAAGGGGGCUUUGGGCUCUUUGGUAAAACAUCAAAAGCUCAGCAAAUUUUGCUCUAACAAUGCCAUCUCUCCUCUCACAGCACCUCUUCCAUUAACUACUGCAUUUGGAAAUGUUUGUCUCUUUUCUCUGUCUUACCAGAAGCAUUUUCCCCAAAAGAAGGGUGGGAAGAAAAGACAAUUAGAGAGGGACCAGUGCUCAGGAACAGUCUUAGAACUCUCCCACAGGGCAGGCCACUGGGUGGCACAAGCUGAAGGAUUCUGGGCAGUCCCCCUUCCCUCCCUCCACAAAAGCAAUAUGCUGUCUUAUGCUUGGAACAUCACUUACAAACUGUAAAGCCAUGCUAUGCAGCUAUUAGAUAUCAUUUUUUAAAACCCUACUCCAAAAAACUCUUUCCAUACAUAGUAGACCUGCAAUAAGGAGGGUUUUUAAAUGGAGGGAUUCCAUUGGUUUAUAGAAUUAUUUUCAAAUUCAGAGACCCUUGCACUGUCUUCCCCAUGCUGCUGGUGAAGAAGUGAAUCAUUACAACCUUCCUGGUAGGUUAUUUGGCAGUGUGCCUCAAAAGCCUUAAAAAUGUUCAUUUUUUUUUGAACCCCACAAUUUUAAUUCCAGAGCAUGAAUGGGCUCCACCAUUUACCAGCCAUGUGAUUUAGGCUCUCUGAACCUCAGUUUCCUCAUCUCUAAAAUGGGGAUAAUAUCAUAGGCUGGUUGUGAGGAUUAAAUGAAAUAUAUGGAAUGCCUUAGAAUGAUGUCCAGCAUACGAUUACAUGCUAUGUGUGAGCUAAGUAAGUGAUCAGAGAGAGAAGUAGAAAUACAUCUCAGUAUUAUUUUAAUUGACAACAUUUAGAAACAUGUCUAAUAAUGGAUUGUUAGCUAAACUAAUUAUGUGGAUCCAUAAGAUGGAACAUUACAUGCCCGUUUUAAAAAUCAUGUUUUCAAAGAAUAUUUGAUGAUAUGGGAAGAUGUUCAUAAUAUAUCACUGGGCAAAAAAAUUCGCGUUUUGAAUAACAUACACAGUAUAAUCUGAAUAUCAAUAUAAAAGGUAAAGAGAAUACUUCAAAGUAUUAUUGGCAGGUAUCUCUAAGUAAAGAACCUUUUCUGCAAUGGAAUCACCUGGGGAACUUAAUAAAACAAUCCUGCUCUAGGAUACCAUCCCUAGAAAUUCUGAUCAAAUUGGCCUGGGCUGUGACCUGGGCCUCAGGAUUCGUAUUUUCUUCCACAUGCUUGGAUACUUUCCCUAGAUUUUUUCCCCAAAGUUUUCUAAAAUAAAUAUGUAUCACUUUUAUAAUUAGAAAUUAAAACCAUAAAUGCUGUUUAAAAGACAUUUCAAUUACCCCCACGAGAGUGGCUGACUAAGCAAUGAUUUUAGUGACUGGCUUACCAGAUAGUUUUCUCCCAGGGAAAGCUGGAGUUUGGCAGAGGAGGGAGAAGCAAUUCAGAGUAUGAGUCACUGCCCUGGGGAACAGACCUAGGAGGGGCACUAGAUGGGGAAGGAGGUGUGGGGCUCAAGGUGAGGACACUGGCCACUUGAGGGGCCAGGGCAGGGACUGAAGAGGUCCUACUGACCAGCUUUACAGGCUGAGCCUGUUGCACAGGCCACUCGGUUAUUUAUGGCCCUUCCUGUCUGAGGCCUUGCUAGGAGCCCCUUGUGAUACUGGGGUUUCAUUUGUGUGUGUCAGCAUUAUGCUUUCUCUU
rnacentral:lncRNA from 1 species